UGUUACCACGGUGAUGAAACCGCGAUGCAGACUCGUGUGGUAAAUAAACAUGAAUUUUAAGCAACAUUUUGUCCUUAACGUAUACAAACCUACACUUAAUACUAAUAAUAUGUAACAUAGCCCUAUACGUGUAGGUUAUAGGUCACAUUUUUAACCAUUAUCAAAUGUUUAUUCAACGUGUUCUCCUACGUUUGGUUUCGUCUUUCUUUUGCGUCAGAUAGACGGACCCAACUGAAAACAUUUUCUCAUUGAUUACAAUAUUUCAAUUACAUCUGAUGACAUAAAAAAAGUUCGACUUUUUGUGCUUGUGUUUCUAUCUGCGUCGUUUUACGUCAACCAGUACGCACUUGACCGACAACUCCGUACCUUACCGAUUACAAUCUUGACAUACUGUAAUCUUCUUUGGACCGACGUAUAAUGGGCGUGAACCCAUGAAAAUGGGUGUAGUGUCAUCUGUCAAAAAUGCAGGCUAACGAGCGAAAGCUAUGCCAACAAUUUAUUAAAAAUACAUUAAAUGAAUGAGAAAACCCUCAUCAGGACACUAGGCCUCGUACAGUCACAGGGAUUUAUCACAGGCUGCUGCUAAGAGUGCUGACCUCAAUGCUCAGGGUUAUUUGGCAGACAUCUGCUGUCUGAAAAUAGAUUAAAAGCUGCCUGUAAUUGAUGUGUCAAUUGCAACAGGAUUCAUUUUGAAAAUACCUGUGAAAUAAUUGUUUUCAUACAAACUAUAAUGUGAGAAACCAGUAUUGCUUUGCAUAUUUGCAAUGAAGAUUUCUCACAUUAUAUAUUUCAUUUGCAUACACAGGGGCAAACGUGAUGCAAGAUGAGAAGAAAACAUGACUCAUUUCCUUAUCAAAUUGACUGAAUAAGUGUCCACCUGUUUAUGGCAACUGACAGAUUAAGAUGCUUUAAUUUGGAGGUUUACAUCCAUGUAUGAACAGUGUAUGAUCUGUAGCCCUGUUCUGUUCUUGCUCUGUCAGAAAAAGUUUGUGAUUACAAGGACUGUCAACAAAAUGGACUUAAACGUCAUCAGACACUCAAAGGUGAAAAUCUGCAUUUUACCCUCAGUAAUUGUUAAAUCUAAGCAUACAGCGCUAUAACAAUUAAAAUGUCACUAACUUACUCCUACUGCAUGGUACCUGGAAAAAUGACUACAGAAGAAUAUUGUCACAUAAACCUUUGUGUAACAUGUAUUAUAUCUUAUCAUUGUAGAGAUAAUCAAAAGCUAAACUCUGCCAUAGUGAAAUAACUCUUAUUGUAUCCAUAAAAACUCACUGGAUUAAGAUUUGUUUUAGGCUCUAAAACCAAGGAUGUAAUCAAAGAAUUGUCCCCCCCCCCAUUUUGACCAGAUGGUACAUCCCAGUCUCUCCUCCUCUCCCAUUCUCCUCCCUCCUGCUUUCAGUGUCCUCCAUCUCUCCGAUUUCUCUCAUUUUCUUAUAUUAAGGACAUUCUCACUUCCAGAGACCGCUGCAUUUCCUCCUCAUCUGUUUUCGUUGUUAUAGCCACAGAGCUGUUGGAGAGUGAAGCAGCACAGAGCUGACCUUAUCAAAACUCCUAUCCAGACCACACCUCUGUCCCUGAGUCCAUGGAAGCCAAAGCCAAGACCGGGGCUCCAGUGCCCAAAGCAGCAUCUAAAGCAGAGAAGAAGGAGCCAGCAGCCCCCCCACGCAAGGCUGAGCCUGCCCCUGCAGCCCCUGAGCCUGAGAAUCCUCCUCCCCAGGAUGGGGCAGCAGAAGCUGAAGCAGCAGCGGAAGGUGACGAGGCUGCGGCCUCCGGCACAGACUCUCUGGAACACCUGAAACCUUUUCUCAUUGGUGGUGCUGUUAUUGCUGCAGGAGCCAUUUUGUUGGGAGUGUUGCUACUGGCAAGGAGAAAUUAAAACCAAAUUGUUAUCUCAAAUUAAUGUAUCUAUUGGUUGAUGAGUUAGAGCAUUGUUGCUGAGUGGUUCACAGACUAUGACGGGGAAUGGGGAGUCACUGUGCAUCCAGUGUUUUUUGGGUUUUUUUGUUCUGCUUUCACUUGUAGUGAAUCAAACCAUUCAAGUUUUGAUCAAGGCUGUAUAUGGAGCAUAAUUACGCAUAGUAUAUGCAUGAAGUUGCUUAAAUACUGCAUCGGAACUGUAAUAAUCUAUUUCUUAAAAAAAAUAACUCACACUGUAGUACUGAGCUUAAAUGCAUAAACUCUUUAAAGGUAGCUUAUUCAACUGCUUUAUCUUGUUUCAUCCAGUUUGCACAAAUAUUGACAAAAGCUUGCAAUAUUUGUACAUUCUUGCACUGGAAAUGAGCUUGGUUCACUUUGCUUAAAGAUCAUUGAAAACUGUAAUACUGUUGAAACUUAAUACUGGCGAUCAGAGUUGGUUUAGGUUUUCUUUUACUUACUAAUAAGACAACUGAAACGGUGGGCCUGAAAGGAGGUGGACAUAUGCAUUGUGAUAUAUUGCACAUAUUUUGGCUAAAUCAAUAUUAAAGUGAAGGGAUUCAGUUUCUCUUUCUUCAGGUUACAGGGAGAGGGACACUGAAUCCCUGCAUGUCCAAAACAUGUCAAAAAGAGAGCAGCAAAGUGCAAUAAAAAAUACAAAUCAACAAGAAAAUAUAAGCAUAAGGUGGUUUAGAAAGGAGAUGUAGGGGAUUGUUGGAUAUAAAACAUGUACAGUAUGUGGCAGAGAAUAAUAGUAAAGUUACUUCUUGCUGUAGAAUAAGAGUUUUAUUUUACUGUCAAAUGAUGUCACAAAUCAAUAACCUUUCAUGUCUUUCAACAGCCACAGUUGUGCUAGUUCAAUCUGUUUACAUCCUACAGUAGCUGAAGCAGGAUGAACAGCCAUUCAUGUUGCAGUAUCAGGUUUAAAGCCUGCUGCCAAUACAUUUGAGUUGCUUUUCUCUUCACCGUGUUCCCCUUAUGUAGCUUUUGGAAAAAAAAACUCAUUAAUAACUAAGAACAUCUGUUACGUGAUGAGAAAAUCCUAGGCUGCUCAUGCAGUGAAACUGGGGUGUAGAUGAAGUGCUGUUGUAUAGUUUACUCAAAGGGGAAAAAAUGUCAAGCAGUCACAGUUUUGUUGCUGCACAUACUCACACUCUGUACAGCUGUACACAAUAUUGUCCACUCACAUGUAAAGCUCAUGGGGAUGUUGCAUAAGUAGAUAAGCAGAAAGACAGUUCUGACACACACCAUUUCUUGAUUUUAUUUGUAAGGGUAUAUAUGAAUUUUACCUCACAUUACUGGCCAAAAAUAUUGUACGAACAUACUGCAUUCACCACAGUCAACACCCCAACCACAUCCAAAAGAAAAUACGCCAACACCAAAACAAACUUCACCUUACAUUGUACAAUACAGUGUACCAAAAAAAAAGACAAAUCCUAUUUUCAUAAUUUCAACAGCGUAUAAAUGCAAUAAUUCAGAUAGGACUCCUCAUUUAGCACACGUGCUGUAGCAAGUUAAAUUACAUAAAUGAUGAUGUACGGUAAUAAUAUUGUUGGUGAUGAUUAUGUAUGAUGUUAUUGAUGGCAUUGACGGUGAUAUUACAGACGAUGAUGGUAAUGAUGAUGUUUUCCAUGAUGACAGUAAUGAUGGCUAUGAUAUAUUUUUGAUAUAUUUCUAACAUAUUUUCCGUAUGCACAUUCCCCUCUGCCCCCAAACUCCUAAAUGUAAAGAAGAAAAAGGUUGUAAUCUAACCUUAAUUAAAGUCAGUGAACCAGCCCAAGGGAGUAUUUCAUUGAGAACAAUUGCACUCUUUAUUUAAUAUUAUUCAAAAUUAGGAAACCUACAUUUGCAAAUAGAGCUUCAGCUCUGCUAAUUAUUUAGAGUAUGGUGUACCUGUCUUUCCAUUAAACUGAUCAUUAAUUUG